CCUCUUUCGAAGGCCCAACUACAAUAGCUGCUCGACAAAGUGGAGCUGGAAUUUCCUGGCUUAUUCCGUUUGUGGAACCAACAUAACUAUAUGUUCAUCUGUUGAAACGUUUUGGCUUGAAGAACGUUGUUCAGUGACAAAGGCAUGGACUAGGAGAAUCUUUUGUUUUUCACCAACUCUCAUCGGUACAGAAUAAAAGUUCAUUUGUAGAUGACACCAUCUUCUUCUGUUCUGCUGCCAAUAAUUACUUGAUCAAAUUCAUUAUUUAGUUGGAGAUUAUUUCAGCCAUGUAGAUCAACCUAGGGUAGGUAGGUCAUUGAUUGGCAGGUAGGAUUUACAUCCUGUGUAGGGACAGAUAGGAUGCAGAUAUCUUAACUUUAUUUCAUUUGUUCAUUAUAUGGUUACAGAGGACUGGUUUUGUUGCAGUAAAUUAGUGUGCUGUAAAUGUGAGUAUGAAUUUCUUAA